CAGCGGGACUUGUAGCGCAUACCUCCGCCCUACAUAUCUUCAUUUUACCUUCCGCGCUCCUUCUCGCAAGCCACGCUUAACCACUUGACUAUGAACAAGAGCACCUGCACCGCCGUACAAGUGCCGAAGCACAUUGAGUGCCAAGUGUGCUAUGACACCUGGACAAACCCCGUACAGCUGCUGAAGUGCGGGCAUAUCUUCUGCCGACACUGCGCACCGCCUACGACGACGCGUUGCGCCAUGUGCCACACCACCGUUUCGGGUUUCGUGAUGCCGAGCGAGGGGAUCACGGAGGCGUCCAUGAGUGUUACAGUGCUGUGCACGAGUUGCGGGUGGCGGGGUAACCGCAAGGCGUCCCUGUCGCACCAGUGCAACCCUAGCUUGACGCACAGCUCGUACGUGACACAUCCGCAGAUGAACGACUGCGAGUGGGUCCAGUUUGCCCUGCAAGGGCGCAACGGCGCUGUAAUUGAUGCUGCCGCCCGCCCUGUGCAUCAAGACGCGCUGCCUUCUUCCGAAGCCAUCACAGCGGACGCGGUAGAGGGAAUUCCUCUUUGAGCAUGCACGCUUUCAUCGACUCUCGCAGUGCGCCGCGUAGACUUGCGUCACAAUGCUGAUGUCCGGCAAGGCCCCUCCCCCUCCUCCUUACUUUCCCAUUGUUUCCACUAAGCAAUCAACAUGAAUCACGCGUUUCCUGCUUACCGUGGUCUCUUCGUUGCGUACUUGCAGUAAAGAGGCGGGGUUGAGGACAAUACACUCGUUGACAGGAGGGGAGGUCGCAGCUGCCGACGCACCAAGCGAAGCGGAGGGGGCCAUUAUUCCACCUUUUUUUUGCGUCUCCUUGCUCUUCCUUCCCCUGCUGUCGUGGGACGCCUCCCAGUGCGUGGUAUAGCAG
rnacentral:misc_RNA from 1 species